AUUGAACGCUGGCGGCAGGCCUAACACAUGCAAGUCGAACGGUAACAGGUCUUCGGAUGCUGACGAGUGGCGAACGGGUGAGUAAUACAUCGGAACGUGCCCGAGAGUGGGGGAUAACGAGGCGAAAGCUUUGCUAAUACCGCAUACGAUCUCAGGAUGAAAGCAGGGGACCGCAAGGCCUUGCGCUCACGGAGCGGCCGAUGGCAGAUUAGGUAGUUGGUGGGAUAAAAGCUUACCAAGCCGACGAUCUGUAGCUGGUCUGAGAGGACGACCAGCCACACUGGGACUGAGACACGGCCCAGACUCCUACGGGAGGCAGCAGUGGGGAAUUUUGGACAAUGGGCGCAAGCCUGAUCCAGCCAUGCCGCGUGCAGGAUGAAGGCCUUCGGGUUGUAAACUGCUUUUGUACGGAACGAAAAGACUCUGGUUAAUACCUGGGGUCCAUGACGGUACCGUAAGAAUAAGCACCGGCUAACUACGUGCCAGCAGCCGCCGUAA
rnacentral:rRNA from 1 species